AAAGAUUAAGCCAUGCAUGUCUGAGUACAAGCCUCACUAAGGCGAAACCGCGGAUGGCUCAUUAAAUCAGUCAUGAUUUACGGGAUGUUGUAAAACCCAGUACUUGGAUAACUGUGGUAAUUCUAGAGCUAAUACAUGCAACCGAGCUCCGACCCUGACCUUACAAGGCGGGGGAAGGGCGCAGUUAUUAGAAUCACAAAAACCGGUCGGACCUCGGUCCGUAAAGCCAAUUUGUUUUGUGGUGACUCUGAAUAACCCAGCCGAGCGCUAAGGUCUCCGUACCGGCGCCGUAUCCUUCAAGUGUCUGCCUUAUCAGCUGUCGAUUGUAGGUUAUUCGCCUACAAUGGCUGUAACGGGUAACGGGGAAUCAGGGUUCGAUUCCGGAGAGGGAGCCUGAGAAACGGCUACCACAUCUAAGGAAGGCAGCAGGCACGCAAAUUACCCACUCCCGGCUCGGGGAGGUAGUGACGAAAAAUAACGAUGCGGGACUCAUCCGAGGCCUCGCAAUCGGAAUGAGUUUACUUUAAAUCCUUGGACGAGGAUCCAUUGGAGGGCAAGUCUGGUGCCAGCAGCCGCGGUAAUUCCAGCUCCAAUAGCGUAUAUUAAAUUUGCUGCGGUUAAAAAGCUCGUAGUUGAGUUUUAAGUUCGGCCCGGAAGUCCAUCCUGGACUCGUCUUGGACCCCGCCACGCGGCUUAAAACGGUUUAUAUCCUACUCCGCUGUAAAAACCGCGUCCUCCUCCUGAGAGGGAGGUAGGGCGUCGCGUUCCGCAUACGGUUCUCUAUUUGUACUCGUAUUCGCGGCUCGCGGGUUGAGGUAAUGGGGACGUUCAAACGUCGGGUGCGACGUCUAAUUGCAAUCUCUUUUUUCUGCCCCUUCUUGCCAAAUUUAGAAUCUCGCGCCGCGGCGUCGACCCCUAGGGGCGAAACAUACGUGCGCUUACCUGGCGGUCUGCAACUUCUCGCUCGCUCUUUCUCUAAAAGCUUAGUAUCGGAAUGUCAUGCCCCCUCGAUAGAUCCCCUCGCGUUUUCGCGGGGACCCAUGUGUCGUGGGCGCGUCUGUUUUGUCAGGCGUGUAUAAAAACGUGCUUCCGUGAAACGUUCGAAGGCUAGAGUUUUGCGAUAUCGGUUGCAGUCGCCGUUUAAAGGGUGAGUCGCGGGUUUCGUUUCCGUUUUAACGGGGUUCGAUCGUUCGUUGCGUGAGCUCUUCUUUAGAGUAGCUCGAAGAUCAAAGGUGGUUCUGAGUUUUGUAAAAAAUGAGUCUCAUUCGGCUGUCCCUCUAGUGCCUCUUCUCCGUCGUGUCCGUGAUGAGAGUGCUUUUAUUAGCAGUUCCACAAAAAGCGUUCGCAAUAUGGCGUAGCGGUUAUUAGAAGCGGUUUAAAAGUAGAAGAGAUUAUUCCGUCCCUCGGCGGGUAAAAAGGCGAGCCCGGGUGGUUCUCUGUCCGACGCCGAAUUAACUAAAAGCCGUCGACUUUCACGGGGUGCUCUUUACCGAGUGUCUCGCGUUGUCGACACGUUCACUUUGAAAAAAUUAGAGUGCUCAAAGCAGGCAAAAAUUCUAAAAACGCCUGAAUGGUAACGCAUGGAAUGAUGGAACAGGACCUCGGUUCUGCCCUUUUUUAUCGGUUUUUCUGAACCCGAGGUAAUGAUUAAAGGGAACUGACGGGGGCAUUAGUAUUGCGGCGCUAGAGGUGAAAUUCUUGGACCGUCGCAAGACUAACUACUGCGAAAGCAUUUGCCAAGAAUGUUUUCAUUAAUCAAGAACGAAAGUUAGAGGAUCGAAGGCGAUCAGAUACCGCCCUAGUUCUAACCAUAAACGAUGCUAACUGGCGAUCCGCUUGAGUCAUACCCACGACUGAGCGGGAAUCCCCCGGGAAACCAAAGUUUUUGAGUUCCGGGGGAAGUAUGGUUGCAAAAUCGAAACUUAAAGGAAUUGACGGAAGGGCACCACCAGGAGUGGAGCCUGCGGCUUAAUUUGACUCAACACGGGGAACCUCACCAGGCCCGGACACCGGAAGGAUUGACAGAUUGAGAGCUCUUUCUCGAUUCGGUGGUUGGUGGUGCAUGGCCGUUCUUAGUUGGUGGAGCGAUCUGUCUGGUUGAUUCCGAUAACGAACGAGACUCUACCCUACUAACUAGUCGGNGGAUCGNNUCCCNAGACGGGUUCCCCUGUCGG
rnacentral:rRNA from 1 species